rnacentral:rRNA from 1 species
GAUGAACGCUGGCGGCGUGCCUAAUACAUGCAAGUCGAGCGAACAGAUGAGGAGCUUGCUCCUCUGACGUUAGCGGCGGACGGGCGAGUAACACGUGGAUAACCUACCUAUAAGACUGGGAUAACUUCGGGAAACCGGAGCUAAUACCGGAUAAUAUAUUGAACCGCAUGGUUCAAUAGUGAAAGACGGUUUUGCUGUCACUUAUAGAUGGAUCCGUGCCGCAUUAGCUAGUUGGUAAGGUAACGGCUUACCAAGGCAACGAUGCGUAGCCGACCUGAGAGGGUGAUCGGCCACACUGGAACUGAGACACGGUCCAGACUCCUACGGGAGGCAGCAGUAGGGAAUCUUCCGCAAUGGGCGAAAGCCUGACGGAGCAACGCCGCGUGAGUGAUGAAGGUCUUCGGAUCGUAAAACUCUGUUAUUAGGGAAGAACAAAUGUGUAAGUAACUAUGCACGUCUUGACGGUACCUAAUCAGAAAGCCACGGCUAACUACGUG